UCCCUCUGCUAGCUCAGUCCGACACUAAUUUGGAUAGACAUCCGGGCACCCGGGGGCCUCCUCCAGUCCGGCUCGACACAUUGCAAGCCAGCUGAGAAGAGGGGAAGGGGGAGGCGGCGGAGCUCGCGGGCUCUGCUGCUGCUGCUGUUGCUCCACAGGUAAGCGAGCCAAGCCCGGGACUGGCUGGCUGGGCUUGCUUACAGAAUGGCCAUUUGGAGCUCCGGACCGUUCCGGCCUCUGAGCCGACCCAUUAUGGGGCGCUGGAGUGAGGGGGAAACUCGGCGAAAGCAGCGCGCGCUUCUGGCUGCGCUUUUUUUCCCAACGAAGGAAGGGGAUUGUUUUGGAGAGCCGGUUCUGAAACGAUUCGCACCUAUAGCCUCGCCCCCGCCCCCCCCGGCGAAAAGUUCGCAUGGAAGAAAAUUGCAGUAAGAGUGGGAAGCUCCUCCUGGGCAUCGGCCAAAGGUGAAGAAGCUACAGGGUGCUGGACUUUUUCCUGACAGAAAAAAACACUUAUAAGAAACAUUGAACUGAGAACUACUUUGCUGUUUUUCAUCAUCCCUUCCAACUGUUUUUCCUUUUGUGUCGUGGGUUGUACACUGUUAAGUCUAAGAGGGGAAACUGUCUUAUUCUUGAUUGUUGUAAGAUGCUCUGAGAGCCUUUUCUUUUUGGUUAAUUAAAUUAUACAAAACAACUAAA